AUGCUGGGGGUUUACUGUCUGGAGACUGUCCUGGGAGUUGCAGACAGAUAUCUGCAGAAGAAUGGCUACAGGACAUCAUUCAUCGUGACCUCUGAUGGAGGAGACACAUCUCCAGUGGACAGGAAGGAGCCAUCUGUCUUCCCCUUGGUCCCCUGGUGUGGAGACAUCACAAACAGCUCCUCAGUAACACUGGGCUGCCUGGUUUCAGCCUACAUGCCAGGCCCAGUGACUGUGUCAUGGGAUACAGGGGCCUUGAACAAAAACAUCAUAAGCUUUCCUAACACCCUGGAUAUAAGUGGCCUCUACACCACUGUCAGCCAGGUAGAUGUCUCAGGCCACUGGGCAGCAGAGAAAUUCACUUGCAGUGUGAGACAUGGCAUCUCUACUCCCUCCAACAAGACCUUCUCAGUGUGCCCCAAGAACUUCACCAGUCCUUCUGUAAGACUAUUCCACUCCUCCUGCGACCCGAGUGGUAACCUCAAUGCUCUCAUCCAGUUUCGAUGCUUCAUCUCUGGCUACCCUGAGGAAGCCAUCAAAGUCACCUGGCUAGAGAAUGGGCAGGAGCCCCAAAAUGCCUUCUCAUACACGGCACCAGUCAAAAAGGAGGGCAACCUGACCUCCACCUACAGUGAGUUCAAUAUCACCCAGGACCAGUGGGUGGCCCAGACCACUUUCACCUGCCGGGUCAGCUACCAAGGACACAAUUUUGAGGACCACGCCCGCAUGUGCACAGAGGCACAGUCUGAGCCCCGUGGUGUGAGCACCUACCUGAUUCCACCCAGUCCCCUGGACCUGUACAUACACAAUUCACCCAAGAUCACCUGCCUGGUGGUGGACCUGGCCAAUAAGAAUGGGCUGGAAAUGAUCUGGAGCAAGGAGAACCAUCCCUUGGAGUCCCAGGACCAACCAGGUUUCACUGCCUGGAAGCAGUUCAAUGGUACAUUUAGUGCUGUGUCCUCCUUGUCUGUGGAUGCCAAGGACUGGAUUGAAGGGGAGACCUAUACGUGCCAUGUGAAGCAUGAUGACCUGCCUACACUCAUUGAACGCUCCAUCACCAAAACCUCUGAACAUCGUGCCAGCCCCAUCAUGUACGUGUUCUCAUCUGAAACAAAGGAAGACUCCAUGGUCACACUCACCUGCCUGGCCCAGAACUUCUUUCCUGAGGACAUAUCUGUACAGUGGCUACAGAAUGGGAAUGUGGUUCCUAUCCACCAGCUGGUCACCACGCCACCACGCAAGACCAAUGGCUCCAGCCCCGGCUUCUUUGUCUACAGUCGCCUAGAGGUCAAAAAACUUGACUGGGAAAGGGGGGACGUAUUCAUCUGUCGUGUGGUCCAUGAAGCACUGUCACCCCCCAGGACCCUGGAGAAAAAACUGUCCAAAGCCCCUGGUAAUUGAGGAAUCUCUGCUCUUCCCUACCCUGCUGGUAGGGGCAGGUGCACAAACUAGCUGUCCAUUGUUCCAAUAAAUACUCACUUUA